UCCACUGUACCGUAUUGGCCC
rnacentral:miRNA from 1 species